rnacentral:lncRNA from 13 species
AUGACAAAACUGGAAGCAAAGGCCAGCCUCUUCAUGAAUGUUGAAUUCUUCCUACUACACUACAGGGCUUCCAAGACAGGCUCACACCCUGUGCCCACAUCUCCUCUCUGGAUAUUGUUCUACCUGGGGACACAGCCUCCCAUAAAUGGAAACACCAUCACUGAAAGUAUAUUUCAAAGGCAACAGAUAUUGCAACCCUUGGAUAUCAGGAAAGAGUUCCUAGAGAGAGAAGACGAAGAGGGUCUGUGCUGCAAAAGAAGCCCCAGGCUGAAGACUGGAGAUCUGAAUGUGCACCUUGCAAGGGAACUGAAGACAACGAAACUGACGUCAGGUCAAGUUGACAAGGAGUCUCCGUGUAGAGGCCAUCAAAGCAAUUUUGAUCAAAACGCUUGGAAGCAAGAUGAUGAAGUUUUCUGUCAAAACAAUAAAGUGACUAAAUCCGUGAGCAUGUUGUGUUUGGCGUUCAUGGGAGUCCUCAGCGGCAUGCCUGGAUAUCCGUCUCGGGAUUUGGCUUCGCCCCGGAAAGCUUCUGAGAAGCUGUCUGCACCCAAUCUGCCCCCAGGGGAGGCCAGAUGCAGUUGUUGCCUCCUCUACUGCACCCUGCGCUUUCCGCGGCUUUUCCUUUCUUGCCGCCUUCUCUGGACAGCAGUGAUGAGAAGCAGGGCUCCCUGGGCUUGCAGAGCACUAGGCAGGACUCCUUGGUGGUUGGCCCGGGUCGAAGGAGGGGCAGUGAGCUCAGGGAGCUGGGGAACAUUCACCGACACCCUCCCGGAGGGUCUCAGGCAUCUUUCUGGGGUCCAGGGACCACCGCCACAGCUCAGCAGACUGAAUCUCCAGCCCUGUGGGACCCGAUCCCUGCCCAUGCGGUCCGAUCCCGAAUCUACUGCGGAGAGUAUUCUGGAACGCCCACUUCGCGGUCUGAAGCACCCUGGCCCUUCAGAGGACCGGAAACGGAAAGCCGGUUCGGGGUGGUGCUGGAGUCAGGACGAUCGGGCUCCUGCCCUGCUUGUGGCACGCAGCCUCCUUCCCAGGGGCCGCCUCGGACACCUCCGCCAGCAUGUCCCCGCGCCACGGCUGCCAGCCGGUGGGGGAGCGCGGACAUUGAGGCUGGCCAGCCAGGCACUCCAAUGCGCAUGCGCAAGCGGCGGGUGACAAGCGCGAGCGCCUA